rnacentral:rRNA from 1 species
UACCAGCACCCCGAGUGGUCGGGACGUUUAUUGGGCCUAAAGCAUCCGUAGCCGGUUCUACAAGUCUUCCGUUAAAUCCAACUGCUUAACAGGUGGGCUGCGGAAGAUACUAUAGAGCUAGGGAGGCGGGAGAGGCAAGCGGUACUCGAUGGGUAGGGGUAAAAUCCGUUGAUCCAUUGAAGACCACCAGUGGCGAAGGCGGCUUGCCAGAACGCGCUCGACGGUGAGGGAUGAAAGCUGGGGGAGCAAACCGGG